rnacentral:rRNA from 1 species
UACAGAGGUCUCAAGCGUUGUUCGGAUUCAUUGGGCGUAAAGGGUGCGCAGGUGGCGGGGUAAGUCAGGGGUGAAAUUUCGGAGCUUAACUCCGAAACUGCAUUUGAUACUGCCUUGCUUGAGGACUGGAGAGGAGACUGGAAUUCACGGUGUAGCAGUGAAAUGCGUAGAGAUCGUGAGGAAGACCAGUGGCGAAGGCGGGUCUCUGGACAGUUCCUGACACUGAGGCACGAAGGCCAGGGGAGCAAACGGG